rnacentral:rRNA from 1 species
UACGAAGGGGACUAGCGUUGUUCGGAAUUACUGGGCGUAAAGCGCACGUAGGCGGAUUUGUAAGUCAGGGGUGAAAUCCCGGGGCUCAACCUCGGAACUGCCUUUGAUACUGCAAAUCUCGAGUCCGAUAGAGGUGGGUGGAAUUCCUAGUGUAGAGGUGGAAUUCGUAGAUAUCAGGAAGAACACCAGUGGCGAAGGCGGCUCACUGGUCCGGUACUGACGCUGAGGUGCGAAAGCGUGGGGAGCAAACAGG